UUAAGUAACACCAGCUGCCUGCAAUUACUGCAAGUUCAAAUCUCACCAGGCUCAAGGUUGACUCAGCCUUCCAUCCUUUCGAGACAAAGAGGAUGGCAAUAAGAGCACUCUGGACAACUGAGAAUAACAAGCAACCUUGAAAAGGAAAUAAAAUUGAGCCAGAAAUCAAAAUAUAUUCCAGUUCCUUCAGAAAAGCACACAAUUCUCCUUCUCCAGCAG